rnacentral:rRNA from 1 species
UACGUAGGGUGCGAGCGUUGUCCGGAAUUAUUGGGCGUAAAGAGCUCGUAGGCGGUGUGUCGCGUCGGCCGUGAAAACCUGCAGCUUAACUGUGGGCUUGCGGUCGAUACGGGGCAUCACUGGAGUUCGGCAGGGGAGACUGGGAAUUCCUGGUGUAGCGGUGAAAUGCGUAGAUAUCUGGAGGAACACCGGUGGCGAAGGCGGCAUCCUGGACCAUUACUGACACUGAAUAGCGAAAGCCAGGGGAGCAAACGGG